UCAGUCUGGUUUUGAUAGCACACGAAUGUCGUAAGAAGGACAGAAAAAAAACGAAGAAACUAUGUUUGACUAGAUUAUAAAGUACUUGUUGGUCUUACUUUGUACACUUAAUUAUUUUAUUUUUGAAUGUAAGCACUGUAUUGUUCAAGUAAUGGAGUGGAGUACACUUGGGCUGCAAUGAUAAUACAAAGCAGAAUUAAACCAAAGUAAGCGUAACACCUGCUAAGGUAUCAGCCAGGUCCUCAACGUCUGGUCAGUUGUGACUAAUGUGAAACUUUGUAAGAGAAGGACAUAAGCCAGCGCUCACGUCCAGCACCCACAGGACCGAUGGAGGUCAGGAAGACUUGCUCACCCAGCGUUUGACCCUCUGAGAAGGAUACCACUAGAGGGCAUACCAGAGAUCUCAGAGCAUACCAGAUUUACACGACACACAUCUCAAAACUCUCAGUGGGCUGGUGACGAAGAUCAGGAAUCACUGCUGGCUGAGGCAGUGGUUUCAUGAAGGUGGCAGGAGUCCAGUCAUCAGAUCAGAGGGAAGAUUGGUGCCAUGCAUUUUUCAUGAGGGCAUUACAGGGUUACAACGCAAACCGAGAAGCCAACAAGCAAACUGAGACUUACACUCUUCAUCACAUGAGAUUGUGGUAGUUUUUAAAAAUUCAUUAGUGCACUGACUUAAGUGUUCCCCUGAAAGUGCUUUACUGACGUGUGACUGUGCGAGUUAUCUAUCCUACCUCCACUCCCACUUAGUCAGCGUUCACUCCCCAGCAAUGCAUGUGGGUUUGUUUUUUUUAUCAGUUUUGUCUCGUUAGUGGGAACAUAAGACGUGGGUGAACACUUUAAUUUCUCCUCCGUCUAUUCGUCAAUCCUUACUUCUCAAAGCGUGAGACAGUGGUCAUUCAUUGCAUAAAGCAGAUCAUCUAAACAAUCGAUUCAAAGAUUGCAAAAUAAUACCAUGAGCACUGAUGACUAUGGAGGUUGUUCAGUUUUAUCUUCCCCCCAACUUGCUUUGUUUCUGGCACAUCCACAACAUCGCAGGUGUUGCAGUUUUAAACAUAGCCACAAUAUUUGGAUUUAUGAUUUCAAGUAAAAGAAGUCAACCAGGGAAAAAAAUGUUAAUAAUCGGUCAUUUAUUAAUUGUGUAAAACAAGAAAUCAAUCGUUACUGAAAUUGUUUUACAACACACUUUAGUCCUCUGUUUUAGCCUAAUCCAAUGCAUUUAGUCAACACUUGCACUUAAAUGUGCUUUAUUACGGCACGUGGGUAGGGUCAGGGAGAGCCAGGGAGCUCUGGGUAAUACCGGGGAGGGAAAACUAUUGCGAGGGAACGCAAACGUUCGGUCUAAAAAUAUUUCCCACCAUGACCCUACCCAGGGUCCAUACUUUAUGCAUUUUAUAAGAGGGCAAGUCCAUAAAUAACCUUGGAAUUGGCAGAAAGAAAUAUACCUGCUUCUUUAACUUAAUGUCAACACAGUGGUCUUUAACUGAUUAAGUUAGUCUGUCAGUCUAAAUCCAUGUGUGCAUUGUUGAUGCCUGUGUUCACUAGUAUUGGAAUUGACUGAAAGUCUGAAAGCAAAAUUUGCUUUUGCAAUCAGAACAAACCCAUAAACAAUGAGGGAGAAAUUACCCUUUUUUCUCUUUUCAUUCAAAUUAGAUUUUCUUUGAUUUUUUGUUCAAAUAACACCACAACAAUCCAAAAGUAAUAAAAUCUGGUUAGAAAAUGAUAGUUAACGUUUUGGUAAUUUAUUUGUUUUGAAAACAGGUGACAAUAAUUUCAGCUCCAGCUCUAUCCUGUACUUUUUACAACUGAUUUUAAAGGUAUUUUCC